rfam:Agrilus planipennis Contig59068, whole genome shotgun sequence.
AAGAUCAUACUUCACAGAGUCAUUUCUGUAGUUGAUCUUCGAAUAAUCUUAGCUCAAAUGUUGAGUCGU